GAAUGAAUGGAAGGAAAGUGCUGUGUUGGUGAGCUGUGCUAAAUGCGUGCAUGAAUGGGUUAGGUUUGAAAAGCUCUACUCUCUGGGCCUUGUUGGGUGUGUGUGCUAGCGAGCGUGUUUAAUUAGAGAUGAUUGUUUCACAAAUUCCAUAAUUUUAAUUCUCUGUAUUUUUAAACUCACAGCAAUUAAGAGAGCUUUUCUGUUCUCAAGGGUUGUGACUACUUUGAAAUGCUGCAGCUUGUGAAAUGGCUGAUGGCUUUAAGUGCAAUGUAGGUUAGUGGGGAGAGACAAAUAGAGUAAGAUUGGAUUUUAAAAUGCCAUCUGGCCUGGGAUUCUUCUCAAUGCCAGUUAAGAGCCCAGGCUCAAGACUCCGUUGCUAUUGGCAUCCAAUGGCGUUGCAAGAAGCUGGUGAUUUCUUUCAUUUCUGGAGAUUCAAGAAUGUUUUUUUUUCUAUUUUGUCUUUAUUCACUUCACAUUGAAAAUGCCUCAAGGAGCUUAUGAUUAAAAUAUGCUUAUUCCUCACGUGCUCCACUACUUGGUUGAUGAAACCCUUUAUGGUCUGAGAAAAUAAGCAUAUUCCACUAAUUUCUCACAGAGAUAAUCAGCUUUUAUUACACCCUCCAUUAGCAGAAAACCAAAAGAGUAACAGAUCUCUCUCUUAGCCCUUUGAUCUCUUUGCCACACCUCUCCUCUGAGUCUGUGAGAUGUCCCACUCUUUUAAACUGAUAGGGAAUGUAAUCCCGUUUGAAUACUUUCUAAUGUGUUUCCAGGCCAAAUGGCAGAGCUAUAGUUUGAACUUAAAAGAGCAAAAUCGAUUUCAAAACCCUUUCAAUAUGGCACUCUUUUGAUGAGAGUAGUCCAAUUUCUUCUCAAGAGACUUCACCAUAUUUAUUCAUCCAUUUUAUUUUAUUUCUAUAAUAAAAGAUUUCAAGCUAUUUUCUCCCUGAUACCUAAGUGAGCAGUGAUUUUUUCCCCUGCCCAGAUUUUGAAAUAUACAUUUUAAAUUCAUUUCAUUCUGGUGGCCCACUGCCAGAAGUCACAUGGUAUAGUGGGUAAAAACAUUAGACUGAAUCUCAGCUCCACCACUUUCUAAUUCUGUGACCUUUAGGAAGUGUCUCUUGCCUCAGUUUUCGCAUCUAUAAAAUGGUAAUAAUAAUAUCUAUUUCACAAAAUUGUAAUAAAUUUGUUAAUCUACCUGAAAUUCAUAGGAUAGGACAUUUGAUGAAUGUUGACUAUUAUUAUUCACUUAUCAGUGGGUCACGGAAGAUUUACUCCUUUAAUAAGAAGUCAGCUAUACACUGAUGUAGUUAGUGACAUUUCUCUAUUCUGUGAUACUGCCUCCAGGUUUGGAUCCCCUGCUGGUGCCUGCCUUUGCGUUGCACAGGAUCUGGGUCACCAGAGUAACAGGCCUCCCAGGCAGGGAGAGAAAUAUGGGCAGUCAGUGUUGGAUGGGAUGCUUCUGAAGAGCAGGGUCCUGUAGGGCAGUGCUUGUAGAAAUCUCUCACAGCACUAGCUCACUGCCUUGGUAGGUGUUAAUGCUUGUUGAGUGAGUGAGUGAGUGAGUGAGUGAGUGAAUGAAUGAAAUGCUAAUACAAGCAGAUAGUUACUUCAAGACCCUCUUUGGAUUGCUAUAUAUUUUUUCAUGUGAUGUUUGCCUUCCCAACUGUGAAGAUCUGCAAUAGCCAAGGAAUUAUUCUAAUAUGAACAUCACUGAUCUCUGCCUCUAGUCAUUUUCCAUUCCAUUCCCCCACUGUAGCCAAGCUGGUCUUUUAAAAAAUCAGAUCUGAUCCUGUUCCUUCUCUGACUAAAAUUCUUGAGGGGCCUCCACUGAGCUUAGAUAAACCUAUUGACCUGGUCUCUGCUUGCCUUUCCAGCUUCAGCUUCACCUCUGAUCCCACCUCAAGCACCCCCUGACCCAUGGAUCAAGUGAGGUUCUUUCACUGAAGCUGAUGAGACUAUUGCUUUUGUGGAUUUUUCCUUUGUCUGGGUAUUCUUCCUUCCUCCUCUCUUCCCUUUUACCUGCCUUAAGUUCUCAGCUUACUGUUAUCACUAGUAUUAGUAGCUAAUAUUUAUUGGGCACUUGCCACUUGCCACACACGAUACCAGAUUUAUGACAUGCAUUUCAUUACUACAUCAACUCUUUGAACUCAAUACUAUCAUAAUUCCUAUUUUAAAGUUGGUGAAACUGAGGCCUAGAGAGAGUAAAUAAAUUGACCAAGGUUAUAGAGUACAACCUGUAAAACGAGGGUUUGAACUCGAGUUUAGAGAACUCCAAAGCUCUAGUCCCACCCACUGUGAUAUUAGACAUCACUUUUCCAAGCAUGGAAUUGGUUCUCCUUUUAUGAGCUCCUAAAACUCUCUAUCAACUUCCUUUUAUAUUUAUCAUAGGACAUGAUAAUUGCCUGUCUACCUUUCUGUAUCUCCCAUUGUGUAACCUGUAAGGGCUAGGAUCAUGUCUGCAUUGGUCAACAUUUUAUCAGCAAGGCUUUGCACACAAUAGGCAUGUAGCAAAUAUUUUGUUGAACAAAUGUUCUCAUGAUUUUAGGUCAGCCUUAAUUCUCCCUCCUUAUGACAUAUUUGGGGUUUCACAAGCAUUCCCCAUCAGUAGGGUCCUAAAAGUUCUAUUAUGAGCAUAGGUGGUUUACAGCUGUUUCUCCUUCUCUUUUUCCCUGUCCCUGCCUCUGUCUAUUGUUAUUGUUGUUUUGUUUGUUUUUAUAAAAAUCUUGAGAAGUUCCUUCUUAAUCAAAACAUCAUGUUUCAUUUAAUGAAUUUUCUUUCUUGAAAUUCAAGAAAGUAUUCUUGUGAAAGUUCAGUGUUUCCCUCAAUGGGGCCUCAUAGAUUAAUAAAGUAGAAGCCCUGUGUGCAGGAAGCUUAAGUUUUAGUGAAGGAAACUGUAUAUACAGAAAGUCAGUAAAUAAUGUUAAUUGUCUAAUAAUGUUGUAUCUUUAGAUUUUGAAUAUUUUUCACAUUUAAUACUUUGAAGAAAAUCAGCCUUUAGUGGCCUAUCAGAUUUUACAUGAUUCCAACUUACAUUUUAGGGAAAAACUGCAACUUCUCUCUUUGUUUUUAGAGACACGGUCUCACUCUGUCAUCUAGAUGGAAGUGCCGUGGCAUGAUCAUAGCUCACUGCAGGCUUGAACUUCUGGGCCCAAUCGAUCUUCCUUCUUCAGCCUCCCAAGGGGUUGGGAUUACAGGCAUGAGCCACUGUGCCCGGCCAAAAGUCAGUGUUUAAAUGUCAAAUAGUGUAAACAAAUAAUCUAAAAGAUGAUGAAGGACAAAUGACAGCUUGUGAGGAUUGAAUUUUUUGAUUAAAACUUUUGUAUAGAUAAUGUAUGCCUACAGUGCCAAAUUCAAAAGGUACAAAAGGAUAUGCAGUGAAAGUGGGUCUUGCCUUUCUACUAUCACUCUUGCACCUGCCUAACCAGUUCCCCUCCUUAGACACAACUGCUAAUGCCAUUUUCCUGAGUUUCUCUUCAAAGGUUCUUAGUAUCUAAUGAAUGAUUAACUGACAAAGCUUUCUUAAGCAAAAUUGCGAAAUAUAUCCUGUGCCCUUUUGCCCUUCUACUUUUUUUAAGUUUACUUGUCAUUUACCCUGUUGACUAGGAUUGCUCCUUUGUAACAGCAAUUUUAUCCUUUCCCAGGUACCAAUUGUUAGUAUGUGGGAUAAUUUGUCUCAGAGAAAGCCACACAAAUUCAUUCUUACAAAGUGAUAAUAGCUUAGUUAUUAUUGUUUCCUUGAGCUUUUGCAUUUUUAGGGGCCUCUUCAGGAAGAAGUCAGUGCUUAGCACAAGGUAAUAAAUUCCAAAAGUGGAAUUAGGUAUCACAUGGGGGAAUGGGGACAUAAAUGGAAGGGAUGGGCAGUAUAAUUUGGAUAGAUGUUCUUCUUUUAUUAUGGUGCUUAUUCGGACCUUCAUAUUUUGGCUUUGGGUUUAUUCUCUGGUUAGGAAAAAGCAUAAAUAUGUUCAUCCUGGAGACAAGUGAACAUCGAGAUAAUGUCUAAUAGCCAUAGCUAACAAAUGCCAAGUUUUUGAGUAUGUGUAAUUCCUAAAAGAUGGUAUUAUUAACCCUAGUCAAAAGUAAGGAAACUGAGGCUCAGGUAACUAAGGUUAAGUAACUUGUCCAAAGUUACACACAGUAAUAAGUUGCAAAAUGAGGUUUUUAUGAAAGUCUAAAGGUUAUUUUUGCAUGAAGUGCUUUUUUCCAGUUGUGGUUAAUCCUAAAAGAACAUUAAAUCAAUGUAGAAUAACUACCUAAAUUCCAUUUUACACAUUAAUGAUAUGCAAUCUAACUUGAAAACUAAAUGAAUCAUUAUACUUCCCUUCUCUCAUAAAUGAGAAUAUGUUGUCUUCACUUUAGUUUAAAAAUAAUAUUUCAGUCAUUUAUAUAACCCCCUAAAUUGCCUAGGCACAGUUUGUGCAUAAUCGUAUCUUAUUUACUAGCAGAGUGGAUGAUUGCUUUUUUAAAUGCACACAUUUCCUCAAACUUCUGUUUAGCUUCAAGUGAGAAAACUGCCCCAAACCAUAAUUAGAAAUUAUUCUGACGCUCACCAAGAUGGAAAGUGAAUGUGCUGGAAGCUCUUCACAUGGCAGCAGAUUAACAGUUCUUGAUAAAUCAUCACCUCCAACUAGUUAAAACAACUGCUCUUUUUCAGGAUUUAAAAUUUUUUUUUGACUCUUGAACAUGGCCUUGGCAGUAACGUUUGGAAAUUGAUGUGUCCCAGAGACUGAGAUACAUCCAAUAAUAUAAUCUACUUCUAUGCAGUUGAUCUUGAAAGCCUUGAAAAUAAGGAACAAAAUGAGUAGGGAGUGACUUCUAUUAGAUACUAUUAGCUGAAAAUGAGCUUUCUGCAGAGAUUCGUAGACUCAUUAGAGAACCAUUAUAAGACUAAGAAGGAAGAGCUGGAUCUCUUGUAAUUCAGAUAUGCAGGAAAUUUGCUUUUGCAUGUAUUUGAAUUCUCAUUAAGCUCAGAUUUCUUCAAAAUUAGUUUUUAUUGUAAUAAUGGUAGGUAUCUAUCCAUUAAUAUAAACCACAAAAACAGAAAAAUGUCCUUACGACUUUCAAACAAACAGAUUUACGUUCCACUGCCUUGUGUCAUAAGUGAAUUAUUCGUGGCAUCUUAUGAUUCUCAAUAUAAAUUUGGAGGUACUUGUUUUAAAAAUGAGUGCUGGUUAUUAUUAAUUUUAUGGGCUUUUGCUAUUAAAAUCUGUAACCAUUUCAGAAACCCUCAUUUUUUGACUAGAGAUUUUGACUAGAGAUUUCAGAAACCCUCAUUUUUUAAUUAGAUAUGUGUAGUGUUCCUUCCUCCUUAUCAAGGGAGUAUCAUAAUUAAAGAUAAAAUGACUAAAACCUUAAUAAAAGAGGUAAAAGUUUCAUUUAUAUAUUAUAUAGAACACAGUGCAGUAUUUAUUUUGGGUUGUCCAUAAAUAUUUACUUACCAUAACUGAAUCCUUUGAAGUUCCAUCAAAAUAUUCAACUGACCUUUGGAGUUAGCUUCCAUCACUUUCCUUAACUGAUAUUAGGUAUUAAAUCUGUCAGACUUCUCAGGCUCAUUUCACAAACAGGAGCUUUUCAUCUGAAUGGACAAGCAGGCAUAAUCGCGAGCAACAAAUCCCAUUUAAAUGUGUGUGUGUGUGAUGCCAUCUAGUUCACUUUGUCAUUGUCAAAUAAUUUAAUAAUGUACAUCAUCUUCCUGAAGCUGAUGCUGCUGAAGGAGCAGUAGAAUCACGUAGAAAGGAAUAAAUCACCAGACUUUAGACUUUUGUUUCUAAAUGCCUAAAUCAUCCAAGCAACUAUGACAAGAGGAAUCAGCAUGACAGAGUACAAAGAAAAGUACAAACUAAUACAGGGCUGGUUUAAUUUUGUCCAACAAAUCAGUGUGGACAAGAACCUGACUUAGUUGAGGUUAGCAAAUUAAAAGGUCUGUAUCAUCCAGCUUUUGCAGCUGGAUGGGCUUAUAGGGAUGUUAUUCCAGUGAAGAUAUGUACAUCAACAUUUUCCUCUAUUUGAGUAUGUGUAAGUAAAUAAAACUUUGCCUUUAUUAAAAGACAUUUUGCCUUGAUUAUUUCAUCAUUAUUUUGUUUAAGAAAUAUUGAAGUUUUCCAUAUUUUGUGUGGCAUUAAGUAUGAGUGCCAUGAUUGCAUGAAAAGUGACUCUGCUUUUGAUAGAAAGGGAUAAUAGUUUUGUUACUCAUAUCUGUUCGUACAUUCAGUACCUGUCUGUUACUUCUAGACUGAAUGUUUGGUGCUGGGGAGCUACAGAUGAACUGGACACUUCCACUGCCCUUGAGGACCUCCCAGUCCAGUGAGGGAGGCAGAUCAGUGACAGACACUUGCAGAACAGGAGGCAGAUUUCAUGACAGAACUCUGCCCAGUCCCACAGAAGCUCAAGGAGAUGUGUCUCACCCACACCAAGGCUUCCCAGAAGGAGCGAUUAUCGAGUGAGAAUUAACCAGGGAAGGCAGAGAAGGGCAACCUUCCAGAUACAGAGAACAGGAUGAAAUAGUAUGGAGGUAACAGUCUAGUGAAGAUUAAUUUUAUUAAUGUUGAAAAGAUAUAGAAUUGAGAAAAGCCUACCCCUGCCCUCUCAGAUCUUUUGAAAUUUCAGAACCAAUCCCAAGUUCACCGAAAGAAUCAUGUGCAUAACUGUAUUUCUUUGUUUGGGUCUAGAGGGAUUUGGCCACUUUGGAUACCUCAUUUCCAAGUGUACUUUCCUCUUACUCUUGCCCACGUGCUCCAUAAUGGUCUGGCACCUCUUCUUGUAUUCCUGACUAGCACAGUUUGGAACAAUGUAGCUCACUCUGGAGCUGAAGAAAGUCUACUUUAAGUCUGAAACUGAAAGAUUUCCUGAGGUUGCUAUUUAGAUUCUGGGAACUUUUUUUGACAUUUAGAUUCUGGGUGGGGGGUGUUCUAUAAGUAAUCAGUAUAUUCUUUGCUGGGGGAGUUUCCCUCUUGGCCCAUAAUUUGUCACAUUAGGGUGUAUCAGGCAAACCUGUCGUCCUGUAGUAUGUAGUUAUAUACAGAUGCUCCUCAACUUAUAAUGGAAUUAUAUCAUGAAAAACAUAUCUUAAGUUGGAAAUACAUAAAUUGACACACUUAAUACGUGUAACCUACAGAACAUUAUAGCUCAGGCUGCACUACCUUAAACAUGCUCAGAACACUUACAUUAGCCUAUAGUUAGACAAAAUAAACACAAAGCCUACUUUAAAAUAAAGUAUUGAAUAUCUCAUGUAAUUUAUUGAAUACUGUACUGAAAGUGAAAACAAAAUGGUUGUAUGAGUACUCAAAGUAUGGUUUCUAUUGAAUUUAUAUCACUUCUGCGGCAUCGUAAAGUCAAAAUAUUGUAAGUUGAACCAUUAUAAAUUAGGGGCCAUCUGUACAUUAUCCAUGUCAAUGGCAAAUAAGACAAAACUAAUCAAAUCUCUCCAUUUUGACUGUAGUCAUGAUUGAAUCUCAAGUGCAGCCUAAACUGAGAAUGCAUCUAUAAUUAUGGAUUGAAUUUUGCAUGCGCUACAGGAGGCAGCCAGGUGGGGAAUACUCAGUGUCCUGGGGGCAGGAGACACUGGUUUUGAUUUUUGCAGUGAUAUUCAGAUCAAAUAGCUGAGGGAUUUUUUUUUUCUUUUUGGAGCCCGGGUUGUGACGGGGGGAGAAAGUAUAGGGUGGGAAAGAAGAUGGGGGAAAGUGGAUGGGGAGUUGAUGAUAACUUACAUUUAUGAAAUGGGAUUGGAGUUUGAUGAAUAAAAAAUACUGGAUUUUAUUCAAUCAAAGACAUUAUACUUGUUCUACUUAAUUAGCUAAUCAUAUGAACUCAUGCCUUGUUAAUGAUAAUCCUUUACGAGAUGCAGUUGAAUUUGCUAAAUCUAUUUUGAAAGUUCUGCUUACUCAACCAUUUAUAGCUCAUUUGAUAAGUAAUUUUUUCUAUAGAAGACUUUAAAUAAAAAUCAUUGAAAUAGCAUAGGAUCCUAGACCCACAUAUUUUCUGCCAUCACACAUCACUUUCCUCAGUGUCUGUCAUUUGAGGUUUUUGGGUGGUAGUUGUGAACCAGUGGCCUGAAGAGAUGGAGAGCAAAUGGUGACAAGGUAUGUGCCGUAAGUUGUGUUUUCUAUUAUAACUAAGUCUUGACUUGCCCAUGGUAAUUCUUUCUUAUAAACCUUCCAUAUAUAUAUAUAUAUAUAUAUAUAUAUAUAUAUAUAUAUACACAUAUACUGGUUUCUAUUCCUGAUACUGAAUUGUUAGUUUUCCAAUAUUUAACUUUUGGCUUCCAAAACUACAUGAAGUUAGCUUUCUAAGGAAAGACAAAAAAAAAAAAGAUACCUAUAUAAAAAAGUAACCUUCCUAUUAUAGUUAGCUGUGUACACAUUAGCCAAAUGAGGUAUAGGUGUAGCUAUUUUUUUUUUAAUACGGAGAUAUACUUGUGGUAAACCUAAACAUUUCUAGCCUCAAAUGAUUUAAAAACCUGAAAUUGAUGAAUUAAUCUUAGUGACAUUUCAAAAUAAUGAAAACCAUAGCCAUUUUAUUCUUUUAAUUAUUUUUCGAGUCAUAAGGGAACCAUCAUUUCAGGAAGAAAGAUCAUUAUAACUACAGUUUGGCUUUGGGUCAUAUUUUAGGCCAUUUAUGAUAUAAUCAUAUUUUCCAGAUCAACAGUUUUAUGUGAAGAGAUUUAGAUCUAGUACUUUAUUUUGAAAAACCCAAACCAUUUAAAAAAUCUUGCUUUUGGUGUUUUCUAACUUUCUGGAUGUCAUUCUAGUUCUCCAUCAGGGACCCUGGUUUUUCAGCUCCCUUUUCUCUGAAAAAUACACAGUUGGGAGGUAUGUCACUGAUUUUUCAUUUUUGUCUUUUGUUACUUUCAAACUAAGCAUUAUUAAGGCUUCAGGCCUCCCUAAUCUCUGAGUCUCCCCAAACCACCCCAAAUAUAGAAACAGUCCAAUUGUGACUAGAGCACAGCUUCAAGACAAGGCUUUUAUACCAUUUUUUCCCUGGUUGCUGCUCUCUGCCCACUAGUGGGUCAUGAAAUCAAUUUAGUGGGGCAUGACCCGAUCUUUGAUUUUUAUUGUAAUAGAAUCAGUAGGAAAUGUCAGAGUUUACUGCCACAUAGCAUCAUCCAGGUAAGUAUUGUUUCAUAAAACUUGUUUUAUUUUUACACAUUGUGUUUGUGUAUACUGAGUAGGUAAAUGAAUUUCUUACACUAGGUCAUGGUAAAAAAUGAAUGUGAAAAAUCCACUGCAAAACCUUUCAACCGGAUUGCGCCAUUCAGCUUCUUUAUAGAAAUUCUGCAGGGUCAUGCCUGUUGGCCAGUUGGGUCCUGGGAAUCAUGGCCAAAAUCUCAGCAUUACCUUCUAUCCAGUCAUGUUUGAUUUCCUGUCACUCGUGUUGACUCCUUACAGCGAUGGUUUCAUGACUGUUUGGACCCCUGUCCAUUCAGUAAACUAGUGUUGAGUCUGUAGCUCUGUGUGUGGCCUGGUAGAUGUGAUUGGGGAACAGGAAGAGGAAGAAGAUCAUCAACUUCACCAUUUGCUAGAAGCUGAUUCUACCUCUUCUUUGGUGAUAAGUUUUAACACAGUUAAGGAAAGUUUAUGUUGAUUAAGAUAAAGUGUAGUUUUCAUUCUAAACUUGCAUCUUUUGCACUUUUCAGAGGCAGGGAGGGGGAGAUUUGCUGGCAGUAGCGUUCCCUGAAUCCUUUGCCAGGGGUUGUACCCAGUAGGAAGCAGCAGCAUCCAGGUGGGGGCUGAGACCUACACAGACACUGGGAGGUAUCAGGGUCCAACAUCAGGAUUUGACCACAGAUACUCUUGAGGUAGGGAUCGAAACUCAGAACACUUACUUUGGUUCAGAGAACUCCAGCAAGUAUCCAGAUACAGAAUGUGCUAAAAUGUAAUUAUAAUGUUCAUGUCAUUCUCAGAUCACUGGCGAAAGGCCUGAAAGAGAUCUUGGAAAUCACUGGCUUCACUCUCUUUCCUUCACACUUAUGCAACACUAGAUAAGCGGAAAUCCUGCCUUAUCAACAGAAUAUUGGCAUGUGUCAAAGGCACUUGACUUCCAUUGAGCAAAUGGGCAGUUUGAUCUCAGAGCACUGGGUUUUUCAUUACCUCAGAGGAAGAUAAAGCCACUCAUCCAAAGGCAGCAAAAUUCAGGAGAUGGAGAAGAAGAGAAGGAAAGCAAACAGUGUAAGUGGAAAGUCUCAGGCUUUUCCCAGUAAAUCAGCGUUUUCAAAUAUCAAAGAGUCUCCUGCAUUAAUGCUACAGAGUAUUUCUGUACACUUAGAAGUGGUACACUGAUUUGUAAACCAAAUUACAAUGUUGUGAUAUUAUAGCCCAGGAUGGCAGGUGUUCAGAAAGCAUACCACUUAUUAAAAUGGCCAUAUGAAAGCCCAGCACAUUUUCUGUUCUGUUGACUCCAGUCUCAUUUCCACUGUUUCUACUUUCCCCUGCUCGUCAUUGAACUGCCCACCUGCUCCCAGAUCCACAAUUGCUUGAGAUAAAGAAUCAGCAUGAGGUACUUCAGUCUUCAUCACUCCUCUAGUGUGCACGCCUCUCACUCCACCCAGGUGUCUAGAGACACAUGCUUCUAAGCUGACUUGGGAGGCAGACUGCUUGACUCCUGGGGAACUUGUUGAGAGGUGGCAUUCUCUUCCUUUCCAUGUGCCAUGAGGACCGGCAGAGGACAGCUAUAAAUCCAGAUUGUGGUUCCAGUGCUUAUUAGCUGUGUGGCCUUGAGCAAGUAGAGCAUCACUUUCAUCAUCUAUAACGUUGGGGUGGUUUUGACUACCCUAUAGCUUUGUUAUGAUGACUGCAUACAGUAAUACAGGUAAGGUACUGAGAAGUACCAUGCACAGAGUCGUUCUUCGAUCAGUGAUCAAUCCCUUUUCUUUCUGCCUUUUUUGCUUUUUGUCUUUCCAAAGCACUGUUAUUCAAGUCCCUAAGGAUUGAGGCUGUGCUUGUCUCUUGGUAUCUUCUCUUCCUGGAAACUGGAAACCUCCAUCCAUUGGACUGUGGCCAGACUGCCUGUGGCCUGCCCAGACUGAGAUUCUGUCCAGCAGUUGGGACUCAUGGCUCUUGUGUUUUGGACCCCUAUGCUGACUCCACCUGAAACACUCCAGGAGGUUGGUAAGACCAUUGAGGUAUACACUUGAACCUCAGCUGGCAGCCAGGCCAGUUCCCCAGCAUCUGUGCCACGCUACAUGUAGGUCUCAUGUGGGUACUGAGCUCCUCUCCAACUCAUGGUUUUAGGAGUAGGUCAUCAGACUCAACUGAGUCAAAAGUUACUAUGCAUUCUAUAAUUUUUCAUCCUUCUGAUCUUCUAAGUGAAUGAAUACUUAGAGAUAUUUCUGCCACUAAGUUUAUCAUCUGAUCUUGAAGUGGUCAUGUAUUGGUAUUUAGAUUUUAAUUCACAUUUUAAGUAUCUUUACACAUUCAAUGUCUUUUCCAUUUUAAAUACUUUAAAAAUUCCUCUUACAUUGCAGGUGAAAUUCCACCUGGAAUUGAGUCUCAGUUCCACUUCUCAGUUACAUCAUCUUGGGCAACUAACAAGUUUCAGUUUCCUAUAAAAUAUCUUUAUGCCUUCUACUUGGCAUGGUGGCUCACACCUGUAAUCCCAGCACUUUGGGAGGCUGAGGUGGUCGGAUCAUGAGAUCAGGAGUUUGAGAGCAACCUGACCAACAUGGUGAAAUUCCGUCUCUACUAAAAAUACAAAAAUUAGCUGGGUGUGAUGGCGCACACCUGUAAUCCCAGAUGUUCAGGAGGCUGAGGCAGGAGACUCGCUUGAACCUGGGAAGUGGAGGUUGCAGUGAGCCAAGAUCGCGCCACUACACUCCAGCCUGGGAGACACAGCGAAAUUUCGUCUCAAAAAAAACAAAAAACAUACACACACACACACACACCUCUAUGCCGUCUUCCCAAGGACGUUGAAGAUCAAAGUUUUCUGAACGCUGUGAUAACAUCCAACAGUGAUUACAGUGGUAAUGUUAUGAUGAGUGAUGGAUUGUACGUAUGGUAAUAGUAAUAUUAUUACAUAUGGACUGGAGAUAACUAGCCUAUUCUUGAUGAUAUAUCGGAUUGACUAGAUUUGACCAAUGUCCUUUGCACAAUAACAUUGACACUAAGCUCUGACAACCUUAGAGAGAGACAUCCUAAUAGAAAGAGACUACUCUUAGAAAGCUUUAGUCACCCCCAAAGACUCAGACCUACCACUUACUAGCAAGGUGAACUUGGCCAAAAACUUUUGAUACAGUUUUGUCAUCUGUAAGAAAGGGUGACACUACUUUUAUUUAUUUAACAGGCAAUUGUUGAGUACUUACAACAUGCAAAAUAAUAAACAAAUAUGAUGCCUGUUCGGAGCCUGUAGUUUAAUUGGAGAGAUAAACAUGAAAUAAAUAAUCAUAAAUAUAUGUGUGUAAUUAAAAAUGCCAGUAAGUGUCUUAAAGGAAAAACACAACUUGUCUCACAAAAUUGUAAAACGUCAAUAAAAGACUUUUUCUGCAAAAUACCUGAGUAUCAGCUUUUAGAUGAGACCAGUGUUACCUGUGUUACAGAGGGAAAUUACCCAUGCUGUUGCUCCUGUUUGUACACCGCUAAUUUUAUUCUUAGUAAUAUUCCCUUUCCCUACUGGAGGGACUAGAAUCCUGCCCCUGUACUCCAGCACCAUGGGCACUUGCCUCUGGCCAGCUCUGACUUCUGGACCCUGUAGUCUGCCUCUCUCUUCAUUACAACCACAUCUCUUCUUUAUCUCCCAACUUCAUCUGUCAUGUACUCCUGCUACCAUGCUUUCCUGAGAUCCAGCCCCGCCUGCUUGGGCUUUCAUCCACCACACAAUGCAUCUCCAUUGUGCUUCAUGUAGUUUUCAGGUUCAUAGGCCCCUUCCAGUGUUACCUACCUUCUCCCAGCUAAUCCUUUCACCCACAAUAAACAACAGCAAUAUCAUUUAUCAUGUAUUUCCUGUGUGUCAGCACUUUAAAUCCAUCUUUCUCUCUAGCUGUCUUGGCCCUCUUCCAAGCCCUGGAAGCAGUCUGGCUCUUAGCAGAAGAAAUAAAGGGUCCCUUCUUACUAUUAGCAGAAGAAAUAAUAGGUCUGUUAGUCAGCCUCAUCAUUCUGCUGAUGGUCCUGCCGCUACAGGACCCCUAUUCAUUUCAUAUGCUCAGGUAGUGCCUUGGUACCAUUAACUGGGUUUACCUCUUGACCCCUUUUGUUGGUUUCCUGCCUAGAUUCCCUGCAAAAGACCCCAAGGCUGACCUCUAGUCCUCAUAUGAGAGAAACUGUUAAACAUACUGCUAUGCCCGUUGGUGCCAUGUACUGCCAGCCCUCUAAUACAUCUGCUUGGUAAUUCAUUGGGCCAGACACCAGCCUGCCUUAUGCUGGGCUGUGCCCUCAGCCUGGCCCCUUCUGUGGGGGCCUCUGAUGCCAGCUGCCAUUCUGAGUCUUCUUCCUUUUGCCCAGAGUUGGAACCAUCCCUGGUCACUGGCCUUGUGCUAGUGGGCCAUUUUACUGACUGGACUUAAAACCAGUGUGUGCAUUUAUAUUUUAAAGUGUUUAUUAGGUUUAGCCUUUUUUUUUUUUUUUUUUUUUUUUUUGAGACGGAGUUUCACUCUUGUUACCCAGGCUGGAGUGCAAGGGCACGAUCUCGGCUCACCGCAACUUCUACCUCCUGGGUUCAGGCAAUUCUCCUGCCUCAGCCUCCUGAGUAGCUGGGAUUACAGGCAGGCACCACCAUGCCCAGCUAAUUUUUUUGUAGUUUUAGUAGAGACGGGGUUUCACCAUGUUGACCAGGAUGGUCUCGAUCUCUUGACCUCAUGAUCCACCCGCCUUGGCCUCGCAAAGGUUUAGUCUUUUAGGAAUUUUGAGGUACGAUGCCUUACUGAGGCACACACACUCUUAAUUUUCCAUCUGUCUCCCCUCCUCCUGUAGUAACUAGCUAUCAAUUAAAUGCUACAUUUCUGUCUCGGUUUAACAAACUUGUUCUUGGAAUGCUCACUAAACUGACUUUAGUCCAAUUUUGAAAAAUUUGUAAAAUUCUUUGCUGGCAGGAAAGAAAUUUUACUGUGUUUAAUUAAACAGAUUAAAAUGUGAUUUUCCCAAUUGUCAAAACUGUUUUUGAUAGAUUUCCUGUGUUUUGUGUUGCUUUUUGUAAAAGAAAAAUUAUUCACAUUAUUGUAAUUCCAUAUUGUGCAGAACAGGAACAAAGGAAAUGAUGCAGAUCCUUUGGCAGAAAGGUCAUUUGAGUCACUGGAGUGUCUUGAACCAUAGGGGAAUUAGAGCUCCUAUUGAUGCGAUGCACAGCACAUUUCUUCAGAUGAAGACACCGCUCAUUUCUGUGGAUGUUUUUCAUCUGAAUAUCUGUGCUGAAGGAGAGCAACAGAGGGAUACUUACUUGUAAACAAAAGGGGGUGGUGCGAAGAGGAAAUGAAUACUUCAUAGAACUCUAAAAUCAACCAACCAGAUUUUCAGAACCUCUCACUUUUAAUAAGUCCUGCCAUUCUUUAUCUCUUAGAACAGAGAUCACUGAGAGAAUUAAAGAGUAGGCUUAGUAAUGAUGGAAACACAAAUUCUGAUUGGUAAUCCAGGAUAACAACUUUAAAGUAAUAGACCUUGAUGUUCUAACACAGGGGUGUCUGAUCCUUUGGCUUCUCUGAACCGCAUUGGAAGAAGAAGAAUGGUCUUGAGCCACACAUAAAAUACAUUAACAAUAGCUCAUCAGCUUAAAAAAUAUCGUAAAAAAUUAUCCUAAUGUAUGAAAAGUUUAUAAAUUUGUGUUGGGCCACAUUCAAAGCCAUCCUGGGCCACAUGUGGCCCAUGGGCCAUGGGUUGGACAAUCUUGUUCUAACAAGAAAGGAUGACAAAGAUGCUGGCUCCUGACUACACUGGGUGGAUGUUUACUGCUGAACACACACAGCACUGUACUAGGAGGUCUCCAAGGCCUCCAUGUCAUCCUUGGGUUAAUUAAAAUAUGGAAUGAAUUUAGCGACACAGGCAGCUCUUCUUUCUGAUGAUUCAGUGUGAAGGAAGAGGGUAGUUUUGCAGAGAAAAAAUCCUUACAGUGUUUCUGUCAAGGAUUAGCCUGUUGAUGAGGAAAUUCAGACAAGAAAGGCCAGUGUAACUUUUGGUUAACAUUUUGCAUGAUUCAGACUGACUAAACCUUCAGUUCCUGGUAACUGCAUUUGAAUUUGAGUCUGGAGCUACCUCCAGACUCAGACGAGCAAUCAUGUUCAUAGGUCAAUGAUUUUACAUUCUGGUCGGAUUUCUUUAGGUUGCAAACAACUGAAACAUAUUCCUGCAAGGAGGAGGAGGAAAAUUGUAAGGAUAGACUCAAAUUGAAACUACAGAAUCAUUAGGAACAUGAAGUCUUUCUCCUCGUGCCAUCUCUUCUCGCCAUCCACCUGCUUCAUUCAAUUCUCUGGUUUACCUUAAGCUUCCUUGUGGUCCACCUGAGUUUACUUAAUAUUCCUGUAACCUAGCUGCUGUGGCAUUCUGACUCAGAUUUCCAGUUUCUCAACUUAAAAUGCUUAAAUGGAGAGCCUCAUGGGCCCAUAUUAAUUUUUGAUGCAUGCAACCAAGUGAUAGGUAGCUGGCUAGCCUAUGAAUAAACUGAAUUCAAUUUAGGUGCCCAACUUUGGUUCAACCAGAUGUAGCUUCAGAGGCCAAGAUCAGAGUGGGUUUGCUUAGAGCAGCAGGCAGAUUCUUGCGUAUAAAUAAGCAGGCAGUGAUUGGUGUCUCCUAUGUAGCUGGCCUCCUGCUAACAAGUGAAUGCAAACACUGACCUAUUGUGAAAGAGUGCCUUGUGUGGGGAAACCACAUUCUGAUCUGUUAUUCAAUUGAGUUUUAAAAUUCAAUGAUGACCACCUUUCUCUCCUGUUGAAAGGUGGCCUGUCCUAUAUCCCCUGAGUGAGACACAGAUCUCUCCUACCCUAAGUGAGAUGUAAGAUGUAAUGUAAAAAGCUAUUGCUGUAGGAAGAGUGGACAUCGGGAAGAAAAGGGGCAAAUAGGAAGAGAGAAGGAGAAGAAGAAAUGAGGAAAAACUAACUGGAAAUAAAAUCUUCAGUUUCCACUCAGAAAUUUGAUACAUCUCCGUGACAUUAAGCCAUAUGCUAGAGGAUUGGGGGAGGGGUGGCAGGAGAAUGGAGGGAGAGGCAGAGGCAAAAGCAGAGGAAGGGAGGUGGGAUUGAAACAAGGGGAGAAAGAAUAGAAAGGAAAGGAUUUUGGAUAUUAAACCUCAGAAAGUAGAAAUACCACCUUGAUGUCUUUGGCAUGAUGUUGCCAAAGGAUAGGAUAAAAGGUGGACUUGAAAUGGACAUGAUCAAGUGGGCCAGGUGUGUAUUCCAUUUUCCCUUCUCCCAAAAGCCCACCAGUAGACAGUUGACAUAGUUUAUGCCUUAUGCCCCUACCCAGAUCUCAUCUUGAAUUGUAGUCUUCAUAAUCCCCACAUGGCAAGGGAAAGACCAGGUGGAGGUAAUUGAAUCACUGGGGCAGUUUCCCGGUGCUGUUCUCAUGAUACUGAGUGAAUUCUCACGAGAUCUGGUGGUUUAUAAGGGGCUCUUCCCCCUUUGCUUGGCAUUUCUUCCUACCACCUUGUGAAGAAGGUGCCUUGCUUCCCUUUCACCUUCCGCCGUGAUCUUAAGUUUUUCUGAGGCCUCCCUAUCCAGGUUCAAGAGUGAGUCAAUUAAACCUCUUUCUUCUAUAAAUUACCCAGUCUCAGGCAGUUCUUUUUAGCAGUAUGAAAGCAGACUAAUACAACAAGUUUAUGGGCAAUUGCUGGAGCAGUACAGCUCACAGCAUGAAUGUCUCAACUUCUGACCUGCCCCAGUCAGACAUGCACUAGAAAAUAAGUGUCUGGCUGUUCCUGAUGUCAUUGCAGAUGGCAUUUAACUAUUGGGAUAGAUUCAUUUGGCUUUAAAAUGUAACUUGAAGCCUGGUGUGAUGGCUCAUGUCUAUAAUCCCAGUAUUUUGGGAGGCCAAGGAGGGAGGAUGGCUUGAAGCCUGGUGAUUGAGAUCAGCCUAGGCAACGUGAAGAGACCCUGUCUCUUAAAAGAAAAAAAAUACUAUCUGGGCAUUGUGAUGCACACUUGUGGUGCCAUCUGUUCAGGAGGCUAAGGCAGGAGGAUUGCUUGAGCCUAGGAGGUCAAAGCUUCAAUGAGCCAUGUUUGCACCACUGCACUCCAGCCUGGAUAACAGAGCAAGACCCUGUCUCAAAAAUAAAUAAGUAGGUAAGUAAAUUAGUUAAUUCAAUGUACCAUGAUGUUUUCUUUGAGCAUGUACCCUUUAGGAAGGACAGAAGGACCUCUUUAUUCUUUCACAUAUCUUCACUUGUUUUUUGCAUUAACCAUCUAUCCUAAAUUGAUGCCAUAUAGUCUGGCCUGCAGAUUCACGUAUGUCAAGGUUUCUAAAUAUUUGAUCUUAGGCACUGUCUUGUAUUGCACAAAUCACUAAUCUUUUAUGCUUCUUUCUUGAUAAUCAAAAAUAUGCUUGCUAAACUCCUGAAUUCAUCCUCCUAACCCUAGCUCAGAUGCCCCUUCUCCUUGAAGCUCCCCAGACUCCUGGAGCUAUCAUGUUCCCCUGUGAUGCUAAGUACUAAGUGUCAACUUGAUUGAAGGAUACAAAGUAUUGAUCCCGGAUGUGUCUAUGAGGGUGUUGCCAAAGGAGAUUGGCAUUUGGGUCGUGGGCUGGGGAAGACAGACCCACCCUUAAUCUGGGUAAGCAUAGUCUAAUCAGCUGCCAGCAUUGCUAGAAUAUAAGCAGGCAGAAAAAUGUGAAAUGAGAGACUGGCCUGGCCUCCCAGCCUACAUCUUUCUCCUGUGCUGGAUGCUUCCUGCCCUAGAACAUCGGACUCCAAGUUCUUCGGUUUUCGAACUUGGGCAGGAUCUCCUUGCUCUUCAGCCUGCAGAUGGCCUAUUGUGCGACCUUGUGAUUGUGUGAGUUAAUACUUACUAAGCUCACCUUUAUAUGUAUGUAUCUAUUCCAUUAGUUCUGUCCCUCUAGAGAGCCCUGACUAAUACAGCCCCAUACCUUUGUCAGCACAUAGCACUCCGUAUUGUACUUACUUAUUUGGAUAGUUUCUCACACAUCUGUGAACUCCUUUCCCACAGCACCUGUAACCUUUUCACUUCUCAGCCCCUAGCACAGAGCACAGUGAGGAGCAUGCAGUAGGUGUUCAGUGAAUGUGAGUAGACUAUAUUCAAUAUAGUUUAGUACUCACAGUAUUCUCAGGACCUACCCUGCGGGGCCACUUUGUAGGCUGAACUUUGACACGGGACUUCAAAUCAGGAUGCCUGUGGUUAAGCCUAGCCUUGUUCUUAGGAGUAUGUGGCUUUGUUCACCAUGUUCCCGGGCCUAGUUUUCUCGUAGAUGAAAUAUGGGUAAUGAUUCCUGCCACUCAACACUUUUGUGAAGAUGAAAUGAAAAAAAUAUAUGUGAAAAGUCUUCAUAAUGUUAAAGUGCAAUUUGUAAGGAAGAUAUCAUCAAAACCAUUCUUUUGGAAUUUCAGAAACGAAUCCUCUUUAGAUGUGAUCCAAGACAGAUCUCUCUUUUGCUGAAUCCUGCUCUAUGGCAUAGAAGUUGAAAGUUAUACUAUUGUGAGAAUAAUAAAUAUGAAACAUCUAGUGGAGCACAUAGCAUAUAUUGUAGUCACUCAGUGAUAGCUGCCAUUACUAUUAUUACUACUGCUAUUAUUCAGAUAACGUAGUGUUUCCUCGGCGGGCUUGGAGGAAAGCAGUUGGGUGAUCUGAGAAGGGUAGCAAAUUUUCAGUCCUUGUGCAGUCUGUCACUUUCAUCCCUGAACAAGCAACUGAUUUCUUACUUCCUUUCUCAACACUGUAAUCUUUCCUUCCUUGUGUCCUGUGAGGAUGACUUUGAGCUCAGAAAAGUCCUGUAAAAAUCGAGGUGAGUGUUGCUAUCCUCUUGAGCAUGUGCUUUAAUUCGCUUAUUAUCUGCAUCUGUCGGACAUGGAGCCUUUAUCAAGGAUAGUGAGGCUCUCAAAAUUCUGGUGUUUGUCUGUAGGGCUGAUAUGCCACUUUAUUUAGAAGGUGGGGUGGAGAUGGAAACUUUCCAAGUACUUGAUGCCAUUGAGCCUUGUUAAUUUGUGAAAGAGUUUUGUACUUGCCCUCUUUCUUUUUAACCAUUCUUAAUUUUCCAAUCCUGCUUUUUGUUGGCUUCAAAUGUGCUCACCAGAAUCCUGCCAGCUUUAGUUGGAAGAAAUAUAUUUCCGAGCUUAGUUGGACAUCAGUUUUUUUUGGGCCCUGCCCAGACUUUUGACAGAGAAGGUAGUGUUAAGGAGGUUGAUGGUGUCUAGACAGUAAAAUCAGAAACUGUGUAAUUUAUGUUGUAUUACAGACAUCCACUUCCCGGAUUGGAAAAAGGAAACUUACUUUUAUCUAAGGAAGUUACAUUAAAAACCAAAGCCCCUGGGUAUUUCUGACCUAUGAAAAGUUGAAGCUUGAGUAGUUUUACAUAACAUUCUCUAGCCCCUUCAAAGACUGGAAUUAUUGAGAGUAGUCCUGUGUAAGGCCAAGUAUGAUAAAUAAACUUCCAAGUUUCAGAAGAUAAUUCAUAGAACCAUAUAGCAGUCUUUCCUGGCUACUCACCUCUGCCUAGACCCCUGUGAGCUCACAAUGCAUGGGGGUCUUGCACAUCAGUUUCAGAGGGAUUUUGGAAAGUUGAAGAGGAGAGAGGCAAAUAGCAAAAGGGGAUGGAGGUGUUUGGAACUUUAAAGAAGAUCAAAGGUCUGACUCAGGGUCCUGCCCUUAAAAAAAUCAGACUUUAAGGAAAAAGCAUGUUGAUUUGGAAAAAGUAUAACAAAAAAGUACCUUAAUUAUGCAAUGAUAUUUUGUUUCUUUUUUUUUUUUUUGAGACGGAGUUUCGCUCUUGUUACCCAGGCUGGAGUGCAAUGGCGCAAUCUCGGCUCACCGCAACCUCCGCCCCCUGGGUUCAGGCAAUUCUCCUGCCUCAGCCUCCUGAGUAGCUGGGAUUACAGGCACGCGCCACCGUGCCCAGCUAAUUUUUUGUAAUUUUUAGUAGAGACGGGGUUUCACCAUGUUGACCAGGAUGGUCUCGAUCUCUUGACCUUGUGAUCCACCCGCCUCGGCCUCCCAAAGUGCUGGGAUUACAGGCGUGAGCCACCGCGCCCGGCCUUUUGUUUCUUUUUAUACUGGUUAAUGCUUAUAAAUAUCAGAUACAUCCUCAAUAUUCAUUAUUGUGGAAAAUGAUAGAAAGAAAAAAUCUUAAGCUUGGCAAAAUUUAUGUGGGACUAAAGGCUUUUAAAGCCUAUGUCAGGUUUUGUUUUGACGUGUAUCAUCAUCCAGUUUCUCAAUUAGAACCCUGAGUUUCUUUCAGAAAAGUAUGAACUUCUUUUUGUAUAACUAUGAGACAUCCUAUUAGAGGCUACUAUCUGAACUGUUUUAGAACACAUAUAUUUAAAAUGCUGUAAUCUUAUUAGGAUUAUGAAUUAUCUGCUUUUCUAUCAGUCUUAAAAAUUUUAAAUAUCUCCUAACAUAGGAAAAUUAGUAAAAACUCCAUUACAGAAGAAUUGUCUUGUUAUUCUUACUAGAUACUAGAUCACCCUACCUGAGUUAAAUUUCACUUUGAUAGUUUCCAGCUGAUUGUGCCUGGGUCCUAGUAGACACACAACAAGCGUUAGUUGAACUGUAUGUUGAGUUCUUUAUAAACUUUACAUUGAAAGCACUUUUUAAUGUGUGUUAACUAGAUGAUUAAAAUUUGUCUUGAAGAGCAGACAGUUUUAGAAAACAGAUGUAAGAACCAAGAGAAAAAUUUGUCUUGAAGAGCAGACAGUUUUAGAAAACAGAUUUAAGAACCAAGAGAAGAGUGUCAUGUAUAAGGUAUUGAUUACUAAAUACUGAUGAUAUGUAUAAUGUGCAGAAAUCUCUGUAGCAGCGAGGGAUGUAAUGGAAGCCUUUUCCACAGCCUUGUAGCCCUCUGGCAGAGAGCUUAGAGAUCAGAACUAUGUCAGACACUUGGGAAGCUGCAGUCCCAUGACAUUUGCUCCCAUGUCACUCAGUUUAGGAUUUUUAAGUUGUUGGCUUCCCAGGGUGUGAUAUUCAAUGUUUUUCUUUAUCUUCCACAGUUCUAGCAGAAUGCAGAAAAGGUAGAGGGUACAGUAGGAAAGUCCUGAUUAACUGGCGAAUUGUCUGUACAGAAGGAUGCUUAGUAACUCACCUAAGCCGGAACAUUUGUAUUCUACCCCAGUUUAUUAUGGCAGAAUGCAAAGAUAGUGAAACUGCAGAAAUAACAAUGACUGACUAUAAUAGUCACCAUUAAUUAAGCAUACCUAUCAGUUUACUUAAUCUUUACAAUUCUAUAAAUUUAAUCACAGUUUACAAAUGAGCUAGUUGGAGUUCAACAAAGUUAAACACCAUGACUAAGAUCACAAUCUUAAUAAAGACAAGUUAUUUCUACUCAAA